AGAGUUUGAUCCUGGCUCAGGAUGAACGCUAGCGGUGUGCUUAAAGCAUGCAAGUCGAACGUGAUCCUUGGAUUCGUUCAAGGUGAAAGUGGCGAACGGGUGAGUAACACGUUGGUGAUCUGCCCCGGAGUGGGGGAUAACUAUCGGAAACGAUAGCUAAUACCCCAGAUGUUAUCGUGUUUGGAAAGCGAUAACUAAAGUUCAGGCGCUCCGGGAGGAGCCUGCGUCCCAUCAGCUAGUUGGUAGGGUAAUGGCCUACCAAGGCAAAGACGGGUAGGGGGCGUGAGAGCGUGGCCCCCCACACUGGUACUGACACACGGACCAGAUGCCUACGGGUAGCAGCAGCUAGGAAUAUUGGGCAAUGGGCGAAAGCCUGACCCAGCAACACCGCGUGAAGGACGAAGGCCUUCGGGUUGUAAACUUCUUUUCGAGGGAAAGAGAAAGGACGGUACCCUCGGAAUAAGGCCCGGCUAACUACGUGCCAGCAGCCGCGGUAAUACGUAGGGGCCAAGCGUUAUCCGGAUUUACUGGGCGUAAAGCGCAUGUAGGCGGUCGAUCAAGUCGGAUGUGAAAGCUCCUGGCUUAACUGGGAGAGGUCAUUCGAAACUAGUCGGCUGGAGGGUGGUAGAGGAGAGCGGAAUUCCAGGUGUAGCGGUGAAAUGCGUAGAUAUCUGGAGGAACACCAGUGGCGAAAGCGGCUCUCUGGACCAUUCCUGACGCUGAGAUGCGAAAGCCAGGGGAGAGAACGGGAUUAGAAACCCCGGUAUUCCUGGCCGUAAACGAUGUCAACUAGGCGUAGGAGGUUAUAAACCCCUUCUGUGCUGUAGCAAACGCGUUAAGUUGACCGCCUGGGGACUACGGCCGCAAGGCUA
rnacentral:rRNA from 1 species